UGGCUCAGUGGUUAAAGCGUCUGCCUGCAAUGCAGGAGACCUGGGUUCAAUCCCUAG
rnacentral:tRNA from 1 species